rnacentral:rRNA from 1 species
GAUGAACGCUGGCGGCGUGCCUAAUACAUGCAAGUCGAGCGAACGGACGAGAAGCUUGCUUCUCUGAUGUUAGCGGCGGACGGGUGAGUAACACGUGGAUAACCUACCUAUAAGACUGGGAUAACUUCGGGAAACCGGAGCUAAUACCGGAUAAUAUUUUGAACCGCAUGGUUCAAAAGUGAAAGACGGUCUUGCUGUCACUUAUAGAUGGAUCCGCGCUGCAUUAGCUAGUUGGUAAGGUAACGGCUUACCAAGGCAACGAUGCAUAGCCGACCUGAGAGGGUGAUCGGCCACACUGGAACUGAGACACGGUCCAGACUCCUACGGGAGGCGGCAGUAGGGAAUCUUCCGCAAUGGGCGAAAGCCUGACGGAGCAACGCCGCGUGAGUGAUGAAGGUCUUCGGAUCGUAAAACUCUGUUAUUAGGGAAGAACAUAUGUGUAAGUAACUGUGCACAUCUUGACGGUACUUAAUCAGAAAGCCACGGCUAACUACGUG